AUUGAACGCUGGCGGCAUGCCUUACACAUGCAAGUCGAACGGUAACGCGGGGCAACCUGGCGACGAGUGGCGAACGGGUGAGUAAUGCAUCGGAACGUGCCCUGUAGUGGGGGAUAGCCCGGCGAAAGCCGGAUUAAUACCGCAUACGACCUAGGGGUGAAAGCGGGGGACCGCAAGGCCUCGCGCUACUGGAGCGGCCGAUGUCAGAUUAGGUAGUUGGUGGGGUAAAGGCUCACCAAGCCGACGAUCUGUAGCUGGUCUGAGAGGACGACCAGCCACACUGGGACUGAGACACGGCCCAGACUCCUACGGGAGGCAGCAGUGGGGAAUUUUGGACAAUGGGCGCAAGCCUGAUCCAGCCAUGCCGCGUGCGGGAAGAAGGCCUUCGGGUUGUAAACCGCUUUUGUCAGGGAAGAAAUCCAUUGGGAUAACACCUCGGGGGGAUGACGGUACCUGAAGAAUAAGCACCGGCUAACUACGUG
rnacentral:rRNA from 1 species